ACUUUAAAUGGCUUGCUGCAAAUUAGAAAAACAGGAGCUGAAAAAGCACUUUCCUCAGGAGCAGCUCAGAAUGCAGGAAAAUCCUGGUCUGAGAAGCAGCAAGGAUGAUUUUGCACGUAUGUGAGGAACAUUCUUGCAGAAAAGCUGCAAUUAUCCCAUAAAACGUUAAUCAUCACUGCAAAACCCAAACCGUGCUGAGUUUGGUCGUCCAGGGACAACCUGAGGAACUUGUUGCUGCUGAAUACUGGCAUCAGAAGGGUUUUUUUGCUGCCAGUUUUUCUAGAAACCUGUAAAAUCUAAUAUGUGAGUACUACAGAGUCGAAUUCACUGCAGAACCUUAGGGAGACACUGAGAGAAAGAGGUCGUGCCUUUGCAAAUGAUAAAAUCAGAAAGAUGCAGGGAAAGGCACAACCUCAUGGGGAAGAAGCACCUUCCAGAAAGAAAUGCAAUGAAAACAAGGCAAAACCCGAGAAACACCAACUAAAAACUUCACCCUUCCAAUCCUAAAGCCGCAGGGCUUUGACAUGACAAGAAAGUUGUUGUUAAGUUAUUAUUUAUUAUCUUCGCACACCUCUGAGGAUGCCCCAGGCAGCCAAGGGGACAGGGAGGCUCUGGGAUGCGCAGAGCCUGUGGAGAUGCGCUCCUUCCUCCCUCCUCUUCCUCCCCUCGCUCCUCCCUUCCUCCCGUCCCUCCCCCCAGCCCCGCAUGUCUCCCCGCGGCCACGCCGGCCGCAGCCCUGCCUCCGGGCUCCCAGAGCAGCACAGCCCCGCUGCCAUACCCUCCUGCCUCCCUGCUCCCAGCCAGGGCAGCACAGCCCCGCUGCCAUACCCUCCUGCCCCCCUCACUCCCCGAGCCCGGCCCGAGCCCUCAGGCCGCACGGUCAGCGUGCGCGUCCCCCCGCGCUCACCUGACGACGGUGAGGACAAGCGCUGCUGCUGAUGCUGGAAAAUGGGAAUGCUGUUGUACAACAGGUACUGUGAACACAAGGUGGCAGGAUUAAAAAGCACAUUUUAAAUAUAGUUACAUCCCAGGAAUGUGGGGAUGUGAAACUCGUUUCAUGGAGCACGAGUAAAGUGUGGGAAAUAACCAGGAUAGGAGCAAUGUUGUUCUCCAGUACAGCCAGAAAACAGGAUUAUAUUCCCAGUGAGAUGACAAUAAAAGCUCAGGAAUGAAAUAAAUUUAAACCAUCGAGAAUUAGAAGAAAUAAAGCAAAAACGGGGCUGAUUAGAUCUUAGGAUCAUCCUUGUGCAAAACUGGGGAUUUUUGAUGGAAUGUCGAAUGAGUUGGAGACAGAACCUCUGAGUUUUUUAGAUGGUGUGUUUUAUUUUCCUUAUCUUUUCCACAGGCAGGAAGGGUGAGUUGGGCUCACAUCUUCACUGCACGGCUCAGAAGGUCACAAGACCUUUAGUUAUAAAAUCUUUUUAAAAGUUAUUGACCUAUAAAACACUGCCAACAAGGAUA